UUCCCCGAAGGGCACCUAAUGCAUCUCUGCUUCGUUAGUAGGAUUAGAUACCCUGGUAGUCCACGCCGUAAACGAUGUCUACUAGUCGUUGGGUCCCUUGAGGACUUAGUGACGCAGCUAACGCAAUAAGUAGACCGCCUGGGGAGUACGGCCCGCAAGGUUAAAACUCAAAUGAAUUGACGGGGGCCCGCACAAGCGGUGGAGUAUGUGGUUUAAUUCGAAGCAACGCGAAGAACCUUACCAGGGCUUGACAUCCUACUAACGAAGCAGAGAUGCAUUAGGUGCCCUUCGGGGAA
rnacentral:rRNA from 1 species